ACAAGGUACAUUUCAGCGUUACAAGCCAAUCAGUUUGCUAAUUGUUCUGUGAGAUUUGUUUGCAAAGUUUAAGGUGUUAAAGCAGGAGCUGGCAUUCUGCCAGAGCCUCAGCAACAAGACCGCCUCCCAGCAACGAGACUGCCUGUCAGCCUUGCAAGGUACCCAAUUUUCCAAUUACUCUAUAACAAAACUGUUGUGGGCAACAAGACUGUCUCCUAUGUUUGCAAGCCAAUCACUUUGUUCUUGUAAGAUUUGUUUGAAAAGUUUGAGGUGGUAACUGUGAGCUGUGAACAUCCGGGUUUGCUUGCUGCUGGCAUUCGACCAGCGUCUCAGCAACAACACUGCCUCCCAGCUUUGCAAGGUAAUUACUUUCCCAAUUACUGUACACCAAAAUGGACUAACUGUCGUGGUCAACAAAUCUGCCUCCCAACUUUCAAGGUAAUCACUUUCCCAAUUACAAUAUACAAACUGUUAUGGAACUUUACUUAACAAAGCCUUAAGACCGGGUAGUGACACUAUCAAUAUGUCUAUUUAAAGAAAAGAGAUUUUUUUUUUUUUUUUUUUUUUUUUUUUUUUUUUGUUCUUGUAGUCAUCUUGUCUAUCAAUGUAUCAGAGGGUUAAAAUAACAAAUUGCUUGAAAUGCCAAUAAUUAAUAUUCUGUUUUAUGCUGACAUUCUACCAGAUGCCGAGAAAAAAUAAAAGAUCCCAGGCGCAAAAGAAGCGCUGGAAACCACUUGACUUGGUCGAUCCUGCUGUCCCAAUGCUCACUGGCCACAACCAAGAUGAGGCAGUCAGUCGUUUUCCAUCUGACCAGCAGACGGCACCAGCCAGGUUAUCUUUGGAAACACAGGAUAGACCCACCUCCUUAUGUUCCCAGGUCCCAAGCAGACAGCACCAGCCAGCUUGUCCUUGGAAACGGAGAAUAGACCCACCUCCUUAUGUCCUCCAGGCAGCAAGAUUUCAGACACUCGUCCACCAGCAAAACGAGUCUGGGCAACCGAUGAUUUCCACACGGCAUCAAUUCUCCACCUAAAAAGCCUUUCCACAACACAAAUGAACAACUACUGACAGAGGAGCUACAGAGAAACGCAGUUCAGCACUUCUGGUGUGUCAGUGCAACUCAUUGUCAAAGUGAUGAAAG